rnacentral:lncRNA from 1 species
UUCGAUUCGAUGAAAGAAAUAUGCAGUAAAUCAUCAUCUUAGAGCUUUGUAGUCGGCUGUCAAGCUGGUAUGGCUCGCAUCCAUCAGCAGAUCGUGUUGGUGGCAACUAGGACUCAGUCAGCAAUCACCACAUGGUACGCCUUUCGACGCCAGAUAUACGAUGUAACGAUCUACUGGAAUUUAUUUUAUUUCAAGCACACGAUUGGAUGCUCACAUUCUCCCACUUUAAAAUAAGUCUCAAAGACAUCGUCGUGAGUGCAGACUUUCUGUGUAGGGAUGUUGAUACUGGUACACAUCUCGCUUCCUUCAAGGACAACUGCAGCGUCCCGAACUCGUUGACGCUGGUAGGGCGAGACUACUUUGUUGCCGCUCAGCACCCCAAGGGAUCUCUGCACUUCUGGACCUGGCACAAGGUACUAUCGUCAUUUUAGUGAAGCAACGAGCGCAGAUACCCGUGCAAACUGUACGAUGAAGCGCAGCUUUUAUCGAACCAAAUGGCCUAGGUUAUUGCAGUCUGGCUUUCUGGCAGCAGGCAAUGCUGGGAUUCCUACAGUCUGCUUUUUGGCAGCUGGCAAUGCUGAAAUUCCUGUGGUCUCUAGAACCUGGCCACUAGCAUAUUAUUUAGACUGGGUAAGUUGGCCCUGAGCAGCUAGGAUGGAAGCUUUUCCUGUACUGGUGCAG